AUAGCUCAGUGGUAGAGCAUCUGUUUUGGAUGCAGAAGGUUGCAAGUUCGAUCCCCGGCAUCUCCA